CCAGUGCCUCAUGUUUCUGGAAACGCUGCAGCAUUUGACUUCAAUUUUAAGCUGGAUAACCCCAAAGCUUUUCCUCAAAUUCGCCACUGGAGUAAGCUCAUAGAUGCUCUGAUUUUGUUUAUCGUUGCUCCUCCUUAAUAUCUCUUGCACAGGUGCCGUUGACCUUUAGAUGGGCUGUACAGUGUGGGGUUUGGUGCCUUGGAUCUGCUUCUUCAGGGACCAGGAUCUUGAGAUCUUCAGGCUGGGUUUCCAUGGAGGCAUGGAGCUGCUUUUCCUCCUUCAUAACUGUACUCAAAACAGCCCUGUUGCUCUAGAAUGGAGACUUGGGCAACUCCUACUGGCACAGAUUUGUUCACCUCAGAGGAAAUUCAGAUAGAAGCAAGCUGCAGUCAGUUUCACCUGUAAGUCCGUGGGUUCUCAACUGGUAAUGUCCUCUUAUGGAUGUUAGCCCACGAGGUCAGUCCUGUAGCAAUCUAAGGCUUGAGAAGAAUUAAUCUUCUGGAAAAUUCCAAGAAUACAUCUUAGGGAAACUGGCUCUACUUUUAUGACUUGGAUAACACAAGGAUAUGCUUUUCAUGUUGGACUAGAACUCAGAGUAUUGGCCAAUGGAUGUGUUUUCUAAAACUAUCCCAGUGAGUUCACCAUACAGUUGAAGAUUCUGAGAUUCAAGACUCAAGACUGAAGAAGAUCAUUAUUUUUAUUAUUUUAGUCUGAUGCGCAAAAUGGUAUCUACUGAAUAGGCAGGUUUUUAAUAGGUAGCUUAUAUAUAUUAGCAAAAAUAAACACUUUGUCUUUUAGAUCUAUUCCAGUUUUUCAGUAGCUGUAGACUUAAGUGCUAACUUUUAGCCCAUAGGAUAAGAAGAAACCAAGUCCUAAAAGUAGGCCAGCAUCAGGAUUCAGGCCUCUGACUUCAAGCCAAGGAUUCAUCAUCUUCAAUCAUGCACGAAUUUUUACAUAGCGCCAGAAGAAACUGCCUGUACUUACUGUUGUAGGUGCUUUGCUGGAUUCAGGAUGCAGACAAGGUCCACGCACUGUGGUUGGAGCCACUUUGUAUGAAUGCUGUGCACUUCCUGCUGUACCUUCAUCACAUCAGGGAGCAACAAUGUCUGGCCUUCUCGCUUUUAAUGUUGUUAAGAUUGGUGAGUGCAGGUGUCAAGGACCAAUGAGUCACCAAUACUCUACAUCUCUAUUGACAAUUUUCUCCAGAAUUCAGAGUCUGUGUUCUCUUAGGUGGAGCUACACCUACUCAAGCUGUAACCAAACUCACCUUGAAUGGAAAGAUGACCAAGCACUUCCUAAGUUCCAUGUACGGCAUGCGUGGCCUGCUCACUCCAUGAAGCCGGUGGCCAGGUCAAGGCCCUUGGAGCAGACCUCUGAGGAGAAGGCAAGGUGUCGUCCAGACACUCAGCAGCAGCGCACUAUUUUGGGCUGGGAGCUUGGUCUGGAAUGGAUCGGAUUUUCCUGAGGUCUCAUUUUUCCUUGAGUAGAAGGCGUGCCCCAGAGCAAGCAAUUUGACUUGGGCACAGAUGACCAAGUGCUUGGAUUUCUGGGAAUGACAACUGGAGCAUCACAACAGGUUAAUGACAAUGACACAGGAAGAGGCUCCAGGAGCAAAACCUAGGGGGGUUGGCUUCAGGAUUGGGUUCUGUCUGGCCUCCUCUGCUCUGUUGCAGGGCUGCACCAGAGUUGAAGAUGGUCGGGGGCCAAGCUGCUCCCCUGUGCACUGGCUUUCUGGGAGCAAAAGUAUGCUGGAAAUCCAAGCCUUCCUCUUGGCAGUGAUUGAAGGAAAUCACUAGAAAUACAGCAGUAUCCUGGGACACCCAAACAAGUGUGACCUAUGGGAUGCAAUCUCAAAGCAACUUUUAUUGUCAGUGUGCUGAUUUUUAUUUUUUCCUGGUCCUGGAUAAAAACUCAGCAGUCCUUAAGUUUUAUUAAAAAGAAAAUUUAGAAAUUAGAAAUUAGAAAAAUAUUGAAGCACAAUAUGAGGGUAAUGUGAGAUUAUGAAAGCACACAGAGACAUUCAUGCAGAAGCUGAACAGUGAAGAAGGACUGGGAGUAAAAGUGGAAACAUUCUUCUUUCCAGGGAUGAGCCUCAUGGUUUUGUGCAGCUGACAUUAGGCCUGGCCUGAGUCAAAAAACUCAUUGCCUCCCAAGAAGGAAAAGACAUGAAACAAAAUGGAUGGCUUCAGAAGCCGGCAUGGCCAUUACCUGUGUGACUUGGCAGGACAUCGUUUUGGGACUUCAGAAGGAGGCCAGGAGGAAGAGGAAACUGGAAAUAGGUGUGGCAGAAGCAGCAGGAUCCAGGCCAGGGUCACUUUCGAAGGUGAAAUCUAUUCCGGUAGCCUGGGCAAUGGUAGCAGUUUCCAGUACCUGCAGGCAAUGACAAUUCUCGUUCCGCCUGAGGCAAUGACAUUCCCAUUCCACCUGAUCUGUUUAGCCCCUUGCUGGAUGUGUAGGACAGAGUCUCACCUCCUGAGAAGGGGUCUGGGCAGGACUGCACAGAGCAUCAGUCCUUCCACCUGGACCUCUGGGCAGGGCUCCAGGCCCUGCGGGUAGACUGGAUGCAAUUUGGAACAUGGAGAUAGACAUGCUGCAUUCUGACUAGGGAGACCUGGCAGAGCUUAGGGGACUCCGACAGUGCAGAGACUGUGAGGGAGUCCAGGCUCACCUUGGGCUGCAUGGUCCUCCUGAGCAGCAGCAGGGACUGCUCUCCAGAUGGCAGGGCUAAGCCUGCAGAUUCUGGGGCUGCUGAGUGCCUACAGCCUAGGGUUGUGGAGAAAGUAGCACCUGACACCGGUUUAGAGAAGACAACCUGCCACUCUCUGAGUUACGGGCUGCAUUCACUCCACUUGAGGGUCUGAUACCGGAUGGAAUUUAGGGCCAUUAGAGGCAAGGACUGAGGGUCGGUAAGGCUGGAAGGUUGGUUGUAAGGUCAGUGAUAUGGCUGUUGAUGUGCAUGAAGAUGAAGAUGAUGAACCAGGUACCUGACAUCUGGCAGUUUAUAGACAGCAGAUCCCUAAAAGGGUGAGGCAGGAGGCAAGGCAGCUGUCCCUCGAUACCUACCAGCUGUGAUCAGAGUACCCAGGACACAUCCCUCUAGUGGGAACCAUGAGCUGAUGACUCUUGGACUCCCACUGGUUUUGCUUGGCUUGCACAGGGUUAAAAGCUGAAUUUAAAUGUCCUGGGUGGGGCCUGUGUUUUCCAGGCCCACCAGUCUCAUCUGAUACCUAGACAGCUUUACUCAGAUGUGCCACCUGCCUGGGCGUGGGUGUCCGGGAACUGUCACGGGAGUGCCGCCAGCCUGGUUUUGUUGUCCCAUGCAGAGGCAGUGGUCCAGCUUCAGACUCUUAGCUGUAGGAGUGACAGUGCAGUGAGAGUGGGCCUUGCCCUUCCCUGCCUCCCCUCUGCAAACUGUUUCCCCAGGACAGGACCCAGAAAUGCCCCCCAGCAGCCCCACCACCAUCCUGCUGAAUCUGGAAGGGGAGAGCAGAGAGGAAAAGAGAAGAGAGUUUGUGGAGAAACAGGGUGAGACAACGAUUGGAAGCAGGCAGGGAAGACCAAGGGAAAGAUACGACCUUCUCCUGGGAGUCCAGAUGUGAUUCUGUUAUGUCCGGGAGCUCCCAUACAUGUAUUUUUCAGGCCCUGGGAUUUUAGUUACAAAGUUCUGCAUGACCUGUUAGUGAGGUGGGUUGGUAGCACAGGGCUAGGAGUGAUGGUUCACACACGAUUCUUCAAGGGCCUGGUAGAGGGGUGCCUCCAAGAGGGGGAGCUUCAGGGCCAGGGAAAUACGCAGACCAGAGCAGAGCUGAAUGGUUAAAACAGGGGGAGUUUGUUCUUCUUCACUGCCCAGACUGCCCCCGUCCCAGCUGCCAGCACCAUCCACAGGAGGUGGGCUGUAAGUGUGAAAUGCACGGCAGACACACAUGAGCUCAAAUACCUGGCCUGAAGAGAAGAAAGCAACCAAUCCCAUUAAUAAGUUAUGUGAAGGUUACAUG